rnacentral:rRNA from 2 species
ACUUAAAUUGAAGAGUUUGAUCAUGGCUCAGAUUGAACGCUGGCGGCAGGCCUAACACAUGCAAGUCGAGCGGUAGCACAGAGAGCUUGCUCUCGGGUGACGAGCGGCGGACGGGUGAGUAAUGUCUGGGAAACUGCCUGAUGGAGGGGGAUAACUACUGGAAACGGUAGCUAAUACCGCAUAACGUCGCAAGACCAAAGUGGGGGACCUUCGGGCCUCAUGCCAUCAGAUGUGCCCA